AGAGUUUGAUCCUGGCUCAGAGCGAACGCUGGCGGAAUGCUUAACACAUGCAAGUCGCACGGGGGCUUCGGCUCUAGUGGCGGACGGGUGAGUAACGCGUAGGAACGUGUCCUGGGAUGGGGGAUAACGCUGGGAAACUGGCGCUAAUACCGCAUGUCUGCUGAGGCAGAAAGCCUUUGGGUGUCUUGGGAGCGGCCUGCGUCCGAUUAGCUAGUUGGUGGGGUAAAGGCUUACCAAGGCGACGAUCGGUAGCUGGUCUGAGAGGACGAUCAGCCACACUGGGACUGAGACACGGCCCAGACUCCUACGGGAGGCAGCAGUGGGGAAUAUUGGACAAUGGGCGGAAGCCUGAUCCAGCAAUUCCGCGUGGGUGAAGAAGGUCUUCGGAUUGUAAAGCCCUUUCGGCGGGGACGAUGAUGACGGUACCCGCAGAAGAAGCCCCGGCUAACUUCGUGCCAGCAGCCGCGGUAAUACGAAGGGGGCUAGCGUUGCUCGGAAUUACUGGGCGUAAAGGGCGCGUAGCGGCGCAGUUAGUCAGGCGUGAAAUUCCUGGGCUUAACCUGGGGACUGCGCUUGAUACGGCUGUGCUAGAGGGUGGAAGAGGCUCGCGGAAUUCCCAGUGUAGAGGUGAAAUUCGUAGAUAUUGGGAAGAACACCGGUGGCGAAGGCGGCGAGCUGGUCCAUUACUGNNNCUGAGGCGCGACAGCGUGGGGACAAACAGGAUUAGAUACCCUAGUAGUCC
rnacentral:rRNA from 1 species